AUUGAACGCUGGCGGCAGGCCUAACACAUGCAAGUCGAACGAGUGGCGGACGGGUGAGUAAUGUAUGGGAAACUGCCUGAUGGAGGGGGAUAACUACUGGAAACGGUAGCUAAUACCGCAUACCAUCGGAUGUGCCCAGAUGGGAUUAGCUAGUCGGUGGGGUAAAGGCUCACCUAGGCGACGAUCCCUAGCUGGUCUGAGAGGAUGACCAGCAAAACGGGAACUGAGACACGGUCCAGACUCCUACGGGAGGCAGUAGGGGGGAAUAUUGCACAAUGGGCGAAAGCCUGAUGCAGCCAUGCCGCGUGUAUGAAGAAGGCCUUCGGGUUGUAAAGUACUUUCAGCAGGGAGGCGGUACCCGCAGAAGAAGCACCGGCUAACUCCGUGCCAGCAGCCGCGGUAAUUC
rnacentral:rRNA from 1 species